AACAGGUUGGAAUCCGUUGGGUUCAGAUGAAAAUGGCUACAAGUAUGAAGUCACCAAAAAAUGAAGCUAUAAUAGUUCUGACUUUUGAAUGAAACUCAGACCCUACUCUACUAUAAUUGAAACUAUGAUAGUUCUGGCACUAAUCUUCUUCCACAGAUUGAAGUCACCAAAGUAUGUACUCUCCUCCUCUUCUUUUUUUUUUUUGUUUGGUGAUAUGUCAAAUAUCAAGUUCAUAUGCAUGACUUACAAUGUAUAGAUUUGUAAUACUUGGAUUAAUAGUAUAAGGAUUGUAAUGUAAACUAAAUAUCCUGAUAUAAUAAUAUGUUAACAACUAGUAAUUCCAAAAUUGACAAGAGGGGUUGCUCUGAUGGUAAGCAACCCUCACUUCCAAUUGAGAGGUUGUGAGUUCGAGUCUUCCCAAGAGCAAGGUGAGAAGUUCUUGGAGGGAAGGAUGCCGGGGAUCUAUUUGGAAACAACCUCUCUAUCCAAGCAUAGGGGUAAGGUCUGCGUACACACUACCCUCCCCAGACCCUAUUAAGUAGGAUUAUACUGGGUUGUUGUUGUUGUUGUUGUUGUUGUUGUUGUUGUAAUUCCUAAACUAACAUGUCUUAACAAGAAGGAAUUUGUCAAGACCCAAAAUCCUAAGGGCCAGUGACUGACAUCAAACUACGCCUAAUUAGCAUGCAUAUUAGUGAGGUCCUUAUUCGUUGCUAAUUUUGUAGUUGGGAGGAUAAACUUCAUUUAGCCCCCAGUAAAUCACAGUUUUCUAAUAGUGAGUACUAUUGAAUAUAGAAACAUAACGGGACUGAAAUAGAUGGUAAUAAUUCAUAUAGUUGACCCACUUAGCUUGGGAUUGAGGCUUAAUUGUAAGAAGUAGUUGGUUAGUUUUUUGUUAUAUAUCGCUAUAAGAGGGGUGUUCUUUUUUUUUUUUUUUAAGAUAAAAGGUUGAUAAUUGAAAAUCUGCUUCUUCUACGAUUACAACAUGAGGAAAAGAUAAAACUUACGCUUCUUUACACCUCUAAAUGGCCAAAGCAUUGACACAAUAAUUAAACUCAUAAACGUACAUGCAAAUUGCAUGUAUGGAGUUGUGAGGAGACACUACAAUGGAGACAUUCAAACAAUUAGAACAAUGACUAUUUCUUAAGAUCAACUCUAAAAGCUAGUAUUGUCUGCAUUGCUGUGAGUAUGCAGAGUACGGCGGCUGCCACAGUUGAAGUUCCAGCCUAAGGACUACUAAAAUGAUGAGCAAACUUCAUUUAUUGCCCAUCGGUAGAAAUUAAUAGCAUCUAGCAGCAGACAAAUUGACCUAUACAAGUCAUAGCUUAAAAAUAAUGACAAGUGCUAGCCGGAAAUUCACUACGAAUUCCCUCGCGGGGAACUUCAUUUCUGCUCAGUUUUAUUGAGUCUUCAUUCCCUAAAAGACUCAAAUUUCAUUUCCUUAAAAUAUCCAAUAUACCAAGUUAACUGGAUCUUUGUGCUCUGUCACUAUCUUCCAACUCAUCUUUUUUUGUUUUAUCUACUUGUUUCUGAAUAUAAAGUUUAACGCUAUAUAAUUAUUACAUGGUCCAGUUGUUUUCUUGAUCUAGUGAUAGAGAUAGUUCAAGAUAUUAUGAGGUAAUAAGCUUCAUCCCCACCAUGCAAUUUCCCUAGUAUUCUUUAAAUUUUUGGAAGUUUUCUGUAAAGAUUAUAUUUUUUUCCAUUUCUUGACAUACCCAUUUGCUGGAUUUGAAUUUUGUUUUUUAUUGAAUGAUUUAUAGUGUUUGUGAUUUUCGAUUAUUCUUGAAUUUUUGUGGAUAUUCUUCAUCAAAGAUAAGAUUUUUGUCCAUUUUUAGGAAAAACCAUAAGCUGGAUAUUGAAUUUGACUUUCUUUUUUUAAUUUAUAAAAAUGUGAUGCAAGUUGAGAGCAAGUUGGAUGUUGAUAUUUAUUUUUGCUUGAUUAAUUGUAUGGUGUCUAGAGAUUUCUGGGUUACUACAUUUGGAUGGAAUAGCCAAAAUUAAGUUUUGACAGAUUGGAGCAUUCUGGUGAAAAUGGGGGUAUUGAGAUAGAAUUGAAUCGCCAAAAUUAAGUUUUGACAGAUUGGAGCAUUCUGGUGAAAAUGGGGGUAUUGAGAUAGAAUUUUUAUGGUAUCAAUGAGUUUUGAAAGACUGUUGAUCGCUUGUUUGGAAAUUAAGUGCUUCAUAUUCAUUCCUGAUUUUCAGAAAUUUGGAUCAGGGAAGUGAGACUAGGGUUUGUGAAAUAACAAACAAUUGUAAAAAAUGGAGACAGAAAAGGUAUUCUUGGAGUUGAGUAUGUUCCUGUACAGCAACAACAAUUGUAAAAAAUGGAGACAGAAAAGGUGUUCUUGGAGUUGAGUAUGUUCCUGUACAACAACAUAUUUCAGUAGCAGCAACCUAUAGGGAAGAAGAGGAAAGUGAGAUAAACAAUGUGGCAACGAGAGAGACAACCCUUUCUUCUUUCUCUGAUUUUCGCUUAUCAUUUUUUGCUAAAAAGUUAAAACUCCGGCGAUCUUGUUACCAUUUUCGGCAACUGUGAGGCCAUGGAUGCCGUUGGCUGGUUUCUCAAUGAGAGGAAGAACAAAGGAGAUGACUAUAAAAAAGUUAAAAUAUCUACAAAAUAAAUUGAUAUUAUACAAAAAUUAUACAAAAUAGACUGUCAUUAUACAAUUUAUAUAUAAAAUAGACUGUCAGUAUAUAAUUUAUAUACAAAUAGUGUGCCACUAUACAAAAUAUAUACAACAAUAGAUGUACAUAUAUAAUUUAUACACAAAAUAGAUGUAAUUAUACAAAAUAUAUACAAAAAAGACUGUCAUUAUACAAAAAUACAUGAUACACUCCAAAUACAGAGUGCACACACAUUACACAUACAAAAUUGUAUAUAAUGUAUAUCCACUAUGUUUACAUAUUAGAAAGUACACAUUACAUACAAUUUUGAUACAUUGUUCGGACAUAUUACACAUUCACAAUACAAAAAAUAUUUGGGGUACACAAAUAUAUACACAAGAACACUCGAGAUAGGCUCAAUAUACAUCAAGGGUACACUGUCGAAUUUAGGAUACAAUAUUUAUACAUUGCAAAAAAAAAAAGGGUUAGCUCUAGCGCGCCAGGCAGGGUGUCGAACCUACGACCUUCAGCGUUGGAAACAAGCGCUCUAUCCACUGAGCUACAUGCGCUUAUGUUGUCUUUCUUAUUCCUGUCACCUAUUAUAUACAAUUCUGUUGGGCCGAAAGGCCAUUUUUCGUAAAUGGUACAAAACAUGGGCUAUUAAAAUUUUGAGGGACUAUAGAGGAUAAUUUACCCUAAUAUGAUUGUGCAAAUUUGCCUUAAUUCGUUUCCAUGGUUUUUCACAAUGUUAGAAUUAAUUUCUUGCAUUCUUCUUUGUAGUAGAAGUCCUCACUUGAAACAACAACUCCUUUUCAGGGGUGGUUCAAUGGGUAGGCUAGUAAAGCAUUUGCUUUAGGCCCCCUAAAUUGUGAGGACCCAAAAAUAAUUGUGAAUUUUUAAUCUUAUUUUUGCUUAGACAAUAUUGAACUUUAUACCAACUCCUUAUAAAAGCAGAAAUAAAGGAUGUCUAUUUUUAACAUCAGAUAUAUUUUAGAACAUUGAAUUAAAAUAUUCCUUAUCUUCAUAUUGGUAAGUAAUAUUUUUUACAAUAAGAUCCAUGGUAACACAUUGUAAAUACGUGGCUAAAUCUUAGUAGCUCAUCGGUAGAAAUUAAUAGCAUCUGGUAGCUGACAAAUUGACAUAUACAAGUCAUAGCCUAAAAAUAAUAACAAGUGCUAGCCGGAAAUUCACUACGAAUUCCCUCACGGGGAACUUCAUUUUUGCUCAGUUCUAUGGAAUAUUCAUUCCCUAAAGGACUCAAAUUCCAUUCCCUUAAAAUAUCCAAUAUACCAAGUUAACUGGAUCUUUGUGCUCUGUCACUAUCUUCCAACUCAUCUUUUUUUGUUUUAUCAACUUGUUUCUGAAUAUAAAGUUUAACGCUAUAUAAUUAUUACAUGGUCCAGUUGUUUUCUUGAUCUACUGAUAGAAACAGUUCAAGAUAUUAUGAGGUAAUAAGCUUCAUUACCAUCAUGCAAUUUCACUAGUAUUCUUUAAAUUUUUGAAAGUUUUUUGUAAAGAUUAGAUUUUUUUCCAUUUCUUGACAUACCCAUUUGCUGGAUUUAAAUUUUGUUUUCUAUUGAAUGAUUUAUAGUGUUUAUGAUUUUCGAUUAUUCUUGAAUUUUUUUGGAUAUUCUUCAUCAAAGAUAAGAUUUUUGUCUAUUUUUAGGAAAAACCAUAAGCUGGAUAUUGAAUUUGACUUUCUUUUUUUAAUUUAUAAAAAUGUGAUGCAAGUUGAGAGCAAGUUGGAUGUUGAUAUUUAUUUUUGCUUGAUUAAUUGUAUGGUGUCUAGAGAUUUCUGGGUUACUACAUUUGGAUGGAAUAGCCAAAAUUAAGUUUUGACAGAUUGGAGCAUUCUGGUGAAAAUGGGGGAGUAUUGAGAUAGAAUUUUUAUGGUAUCAAUGAGUUUUGAAAGACUGUUGAUCGCUUGUUUGGAAAUUAAGUGCUUCAUAUUCAUUCCUGAUUUUCAGAAAUUUGGAUCAGGGAAGUGAGACUAGGGUUUGUGAAAUAACAAACAAUUGUAAAAAAUGGAGACAGAAAAGGUAUUCUUGGAGUUGAGUAUGUUCCUGUACAGCAACAUAUUUCAGUAGUAGCAACCUAUAGGGAAGAAGAGGAAAGCGAGAUAAACAGUGUGGCAACGAGAGAGACAACCCUUUCUUCUUUCUCUGAUUUUGGCUUACCAUUUUUUACUAAAAAGUUAAAACUCCGGCGAUCUUGUUACCAUUUUCGGCAACUGUGAGGCCAUGGACGUCGUUGGCUGGUUUCUCAAUGAGAGGAAGAACAAAGGAGAUGACUAUAAAAAAAAGUUAAAAUAUCUACAAAAUAAAUUGAUAUUAUACAAAAAUUAUACAAAAUAGACUGUCAUUAUACAAGUUAUAUACAAAAUAGACUGUCAGUAUAUAAUUUAUAUACAAAUAGUGUGCCACUAUACAAAAUAUAUACAACAAUAGAUGUACAUAUAUAAUUUAUACACAAAAUAGAUGUAAUUAUACAAAAUAUAUACAAAAAAGACUGUCAUUAUACAAAAAUACAUGAUACACUCCAAAUACAGAGUCUAUACAAAAUAUAUACAAAAAAAGACUGUCAUUAUACAAAAAUACAUGAUACACUCCAAAUACAGAGUGCACGCACAUUACACAUACAAAAUUGUAUAUAAUGUAUAUCCACUAUGUUUACAUAUUAGAAAAUACACAUUAUAUACAAUUUUAUACAUUGUUCGGACAUAUUGUACAUUCACAAUACAAAAACAUUUGGGGUACACAAUAUAUACACAAGAACACUCGAGAUAGGCUCAAUAUACACAAAUGAUACACUGUCGAACUUAGGAUACAAUAUUUAUACAUUGCAAAAAAAAGGGUUAGCUCUAGCGCGCCAGGUAGGGUGUCGAACCUGCGACCUUCAGCUUAGGAAACAAGCGCUCUAGCGACUGAGCUACAUGCGCUUAUGUUGUCUUUCUUAUUCCUUUCACCUAUUAUAUACAAUACUUUUGGGCCGAAAGACCAUUUUUUGUAAAUGGUACAAAACAUGGGCUAUUAAAAUUUUGAGGGACUAUAGAGGAUAAUUUACCCUAAAAUGAUUGUGCCUCAAAUUUGCCUUAAUUC
rnacentral:lncRNA from 1 species